CAGUAACAUCACGGUGACCAUUACGUGGAGCUCGGAUGGGAGGGCGCACAGAUGGGAGCUGAUUUCUUUACAGAGAAAGACAGAGGGGUGGGGGUAAAAACAGGUGAAGCGUCUCUUACUCAUCCAGAACCAGAACACGCUGCAUGUCGGCAUCAUUUCCUGCUGCUCCCGUCGACAAACAAUUAAAGACAAGAACGCGGAGCGCACCGGGAGGAGGUGAAGUGUUGGUAGUGCUGAGUGGAAGACUAGUGAUUUUGUUGUGCCGCUUUUCAAAGAACAACAAGUCCCAGUCUACCUCUCAGCACGAGCAGCGCCCUUCGCUACGACGCCACCUUCAACCUGCACACCUUGACCACGCCGGCCUUAACGACAAGACUUCCUGUUUGCUCAGCAGGCGACGAUACAUGAAAACCUGCCCUUUUAAAGUUCACUUCAAGUGUUCUGAUUCUGUCCCUGAGUGAAUGGGCGUUCAGCCUUUGUUAAUUACUGACAAAAUUGCAAUCAAAAGCACAGUUUAAGCAUGAAAGCUGCUCAGGGAAAUACUGUAAUUAUAUCACAAAGUGCCUCGUGUGAAACAAACAGAGCAGCUUUUGUGUUAUUGUUUUCUAUUCGUUUCCAGUGAGUCACGUCGUUUUAAUGUAUGCCACAUGUUGUUCCUCAGAAUGUUUACUGAUGAUUAAUCAAACUGCAUUGUAAAGCAUGCUGUUUCCUGAUUUUUAUCCUAAAAUAAAACCAUUGUUUGAACUUUUA